GGGGAUUUAGCUCAGUGGUAGAGCGCUUGCCUAGCAAACGCAAGGCCCUGGGUUCGAUCCCCAGCUCCG
rfam:Rattus norvegicus chromosome 20, whole genome shotgun sequence.